rnacentral:misc_RNA from 1 species
GCUCCGUUGGUGAACCAGCGGAGGGAUCAUUACAGAGUUGCAAAACUCCCAAACCAUUGUGAACGUUACCUAUCCCGUUGCUUCGGCGGGCGGCCCGGGCCCCGCGCCCGGCGCCCCCCGGCCCCCCGUGGGCGCCCGCCGGAGGUAAACCAAACCCUUGAAUUGCAUGGCCUCUCUGAGUCUUCUGUACUGAAUAAGUCAAGACUUUCAACAACGGAUCUCUUGGUUCUG